rnacentral:lncRNA from 1 species
GACGAAAGAGUUCGCGUUGUUUUGAAUGAGGCUAGGGUUUACCGCUUUCUUGGACUGAAUUAACAACUGAAGGGAUUGUCAAUUCUAAGUUUGUGACGAGACUCAACUCAGCGAAAAGGAUUAGGGUUUAGGGAGAUCAAUUCUGAGUUUGAAUCGCGUUUUCUAAUAAUCGAUUUCUGAGUUUAGGGUGAAUUGGAUUUGAGAAGAAGAAGAAAUUUGGGAUGAAUGGAAUCAAUUUGGAGAAGAAGAGCAUAGUUGGUUUUUCCAUGGAUGCAAUUUGGGUUUAGAGCAAGAAGAGAAAAUCGUGUUUCUAGAAUCAUUUUAUGUCUUAUGCUUUUUUGGGAGAAAUAACUUAUAUUUU